GUGUUUACAGCAUACAGAUCCAUUUUUCUGGCACGAAGACAUGAGCAUGGGAUAAUGGAAAGGACCCUGUCCUCUAUUUUCAAUGUGUUUAGCAGCGGUGGACUAGGGUAAUGUUAAUAGGGAAGGGGGGGCAUUAAUAUUUAUUUCUUAAAUUUGAAUUUGAGGAUUAUGACAGAUAACUGAGAAAGCAUUGCCAAGGAUUUUUUAUUACUCAAGUAGACAUUUAGGGGUGAAGAUAUCAGAUCCGUAGUAGUUUAACCAUAAACGAUGCCGACCAGCGUCAGGAGACGUUGAAUACUUAUCGGCCCCAUCGGCGCGGUCGUCCUUGCGUCGGUCCUUCGGGCCGGCGCGAGGGCGGCUGCCCCUGGACACCA
rnacentral:rRNA from 1 species